CGGGCAGUAGCUCACUGGUAGAGCUCCCGCUACGUAUGGGGGAAGACCUGGGUUCGAUUCCCGGUUGCUUAC
rfam:Toxocara canis scaffold377, whole genome shotgun sequence.